rnacentral:rRNA from 1 species
ACGGAAGGCAGCAGUGGGGGAUAUUGCACAAUGGGGGAAACCCUGAUGCAGCGACGCCGCGUGAGUGAUGAAGUAUUUCGGUAUGUAAAGCUCUAUCAGCAGGGAAGAAAAUGACGGUACCUGACUAAGAAGCUCCGGCUAAAUACGUGCCAGCAGCCGCGGUAAUACGUAUGGAGCAAGCGUUAUCCGGAUUUACUGGGUGUAAAGGGAGCGUAGACGGCGUGGCAAGUCUGAUGUGAAAGCUAUGGGCUCAACCCAUAAACUGCAUUGGAAACUGUCAUGCUAGAGUGCCGGAGAGGUAAGCGGAAUUCCUAGUGUAGCGGUGAAAUGCGUAGAUAUUAGGAGGAACACCAGUGGCGAAGGCGGCUUACUGGACGAUAACUGACGUUGAGGCUCGAAAGCGUGGGGAGCAAACAGGAUUAGAUACCCUGGUA